rnacentral:rRNA from 1 species
GAUGAACGCUGGCGGCGUGCUUAGCACAUGCAAGUCGAACGGAAAGGCCCAAGCUUGCUUGGGUACUCGAGUGGCGAACGGGUGAGUAACACGUGGGUGAUCUGCCCUGCACUUCGGGAUAAGCCUGGGAAACUGGGUCUAAUACCGGAUAGGACCACAUUUUGGAUGGUGUGGUGGAAAGUUUUUCGGUGUGGGAUGAGCUCGCGGCCUAUCAGCUUGUUGGUGGGGUAAUGGCCUACCAAGGCGUCGACGGGUAGCCGGCCUGAGAGGGUGUACGGCCACAUUGGGACUGAGAUACGGCCCAGACUCCUACGGGAGGCAGCAGUGGGGAAUAUUGCACAAUGGGCGCAAGCCGGAUGCAGCGACGCCGCGUGGGGGAUGACGGCCUUCGGGUUGUAAACUCCUUUCGCUAGGGACGAAGCGUUAUGUGACGGUACCUGGAGAAGAAGCACCGGCUAACUACGUG